GAGGGUGGACAGGUGGGUUGGCAUGGUUGUCGUCAGCUCGUGUCGUGAGAUGUUGGUUAAGUCCGCAACGAGCGCAACCCUCGACCUUAGUUGCCAGCAUUCAGUUGGGCACUCUAAGGUGACUGCCGGCUAAAAGUCGGAGGAAGGUGGGGAUGACGUCAAAUCAUCAUGCCCCUUAUGACCUGGGCUACACACGUGCUACAAUGGGCGGUACAAAGGGUCGCGAACCCGCGAGGGGGAGCCAAUCCCAAAAAGCCGCUCUCAGUUCGGAUUGCAGGCUGCAACUCGCCUGCAUGAAGCCGGAAUCGCUAGUAAUCGCGGAUCAGCAUGCCGCGGUGAAUACGUUCCCGGGCCUU
rnacentral:rRNA from 1 species